UGGGGAAUAUUGGACAAUGGGGGGAACCCUGAUCCAGCCAUGCCGCGUGUGUGAAGAAGGCCUUAUGGUUGUAAAGCACUUUAAGCGAGGAGGAGGGUACUGGUAUUAAUACUACCAGCUACUGGACGUUACUCGCAGAAUAAGCACCGGCUAACACUGUGCCAGCAGCCGCGGUAAUACAGAGGGUGCGAGCGUUAAUCGGAAUUACUGGGCGUAAAGCGCGCGUAGGUGGUUCGUUAAGUUGAAUGUGAAAGCCCCGGGCUCAACCUGGGAACUGCAUCCAAAACUGGCGAGCUAGAGUAGGGCAGAGGGUGGUGGAAUUUCCUGUGUAGCGGUGAAAUGCGUAGAUAUAGGAAGGAACACCAGUGGCGAAGGCGACCACCUGGGCUCAUACUGACACUGAGGUGCGAAAGCGUGGGGAGCAAACAGG
rnacentral:rRNA from 1 species